UCGCGGCGACGCUCGUGGGGGCGUGCGGGGUGCUGCUGGAGUCGGCGCUGCGGGCGCACGCGCCGGUCGAGCGGUUCGGCGCCGCCGCGGCGGUC
rnacentral:tRNA from 1 species